rnacentral:rRNA from 1 species
AUUGAACGCUGGCGGAAUGCUUUACACAUGCAAGUCGAACGGCAGCACGGGUGCUUGCACCUGGUGGCGAGUGGCGAACGGGUGAGUAACAUAUCGGAACGUACCCAGUAAUGGGGGAUAACUAACCGAAAGGUUAGCUAAUACCGCAUACGCCCUGAGGGGGAAAGCGGGGGAUCGAAGGACCUCGCGUUAUUGGAGCGGCCGAUAUCGGAUUAGCUAGUUGGUGAGGUAAAGGCUCACCAAGGCGACGAUCAGUAGCAGGUCUGAGAGGAUGAUCUGGCACACUGGAACUGAGACACGGUCCAGACUCCUACGGGAGGCAGCAGUGGGGAAUUUUGGACAAUGGGGGAAACCCUGAUCCAGCCAUUCCGCGUGAGUGAAGAAGGCCUUCGGGUUGUAAAGCUCUUUCGGCAGGGAAGAAACGGUUCUGGAUAAUACCCGGAGCUAAUGACGGUACCUGAAGAAGAAGCACCGGCUAACUACGUGCCAGCCGCCGCGGUAA